GGCCCUGGGCCCAUAUAAACCCCAGGAUGGGGACUAGUGAGUUCAGUUUUCUGCUGUCAGCCAAGGGGGAAGGAGCCCUCCUAGAGUGAGUGAAGGGAAGAGGCCUGACUAAGUUCUGUUCCUAGUAAUGUAAAGGGGCAGAGCAUACCUUAUGCAGCUUGUGUUAUGUUAUAGCCCAGGGGCUUAUGUUUGGUUGUUGUUUUACAACACGGGUGGUUUGGGUGAGGCUACUUGGGGAAGAAGGAAGCCUCAUUGGGGGCCCACUGCAGCGUGGGGACCCCAGCGCCAGAGAAGGUGCAGCAUUUUGGGUGCACAGACCCCAGCAUCAGAAAGGGCACAGCAUUUCAGGGGGUGAGCAGACCCCAGUGCCAGAGGGGUGCAGCAUUCAGGGGGUGAGCAGACCCCGGGACCAGAGGGGCACAGCGUUCAGGGGGCGACCAGGUCUUGGCGCCAGAGGGGCACAGCUUUCAGGGGGUGAGCAAAAACAGAGCUGCGGAGGGCCCAGGCGCCAGUGAGGUGCAGAUACAGGGCUGCGGGGGGCCCAGAGUGGACAAGGGGGCCAAAUCACAGCAAGGCCUAGACAGGACAAUGUCAAUGCCAUCUGUGAGGCUUGGGGCAUGGUAAAGGGGCGGUUGGAGCCACGCAUAUAGCCCGUAAGGCUGGGGACCCACGGGGUCCAGGGAAGUCCAUCAGGACCAUGUCCGACUGGGCGUGAAAGCAGCCUCCCUACAUUACAUUUACAUCAAGAUGUGGCGGGCAAGAAAAGAGGGUGUCCAUCAGGCCAAAUUGGCACAGUCGAGGGGCCUUAGGAGAUCAUGGCCAUCCUUAGGGACCCUAUCCCAUGACACACUGGUCCAAAAGUCCAUUUAGCACCUUUAACUGACACUACUUGGAGAUGUGUUAUUUUUGCUGCACUCCCCAGUUACAGCACCCCAGCUAUGGAAACAGCCAGAGACUCCAAAGACUUCUAAUUAAUCCCCUUCACCAUGAGGUGGCACUGUUCCAGCCUUUAGCCAAACCGUGACCAAAAGUUCAGUGGCAGGACACUGCCUACCAGAUCCGACACCCAAGAUAUGCAGCAUCCUGGGUGACAUUUAGAAAAUUUUUGGAGUCAGAACUUGCUGGGGUCAGCAACCAAAAAAAAUUAAAAAUGAAGAGAGUGAAAGAUCUAUAUUGUGCAGAUUUGCAGUAAUUUUUUAUUUUUGUAUAUUUCGUAUGUAUUUUAUAUUGUAAAGGUGCUGGGGAGGAAGAUCUCCCUUUUGUAUAAUACUGUUAUCCUUAUUUAUUUAAAAUCUUUGUUAAUUUAAUAAUGUAUUACUUAUUAUUUAAAUUCUUUUUUUAAUUUAAAUUUUAAAAAAAUUAUUUUUUUUCUUUUUAUUUUUUUUACAAAAGAAGAAAAUGCACCACACCGCUCUUUUUUGAAUAAAGUAUUUUAUUUUUGCUCUAUAUAUGUCAUGUCUGCUUUCA